rnacentral:rRNA from 1 species
AUUACCUACGGGGGGUAGCAGUGGGGAAUAUUGCACAAUGGGGGGAACCCUGAUGCAGCGACGCCGCGUGAGUGAAGAAGUAUUUCGGUACGUAAAGCUCUAUCAGCAGGGAAGAAAAAAGGACGGUACCUGAAGAAAAAGCAUCGGCUAACUCCGUGCCAGCAGCCGCGGUAAUACGGAGGAUGCGAGCGUUAUCCGGAUUUAUUGGGUUUAAAGGGUGCGUAGGCGGAAUGCCAAGUCAGCGGUAAAAUCGCGGGGCUCAACCUCGCUCCGCCGUUGAAACUGGCGUUCUUGCGUGGGCGAGA